CGAUCUCCACUUGCGCCUCCUUUCCUUUCUCCUUGGGAGGAGCGACUAGAAAGAGCAUUGAAAUCUAACGUUGCCAUGCCGUGCAAAAUGUAAAUUCACGAAUGACAUAUGUCAAAAGAUAUUGGCGCUGCAUUCGCCAUAAUCAGCUGUUUCCCAAACAAAAGAUUAGUGGUUUUUGUUUAUCAAAAUAAAACCAAUUCAUCAACUGAAAGCUCUUUCGUGAAUUCUUGGCUGUGUUUUAAGUAGUAUUAAUUAUUUUGAGGAGUAAAAGAUUAAGAAAGAAAGCAGUUACAAAGGAUACAAUAAACAUUGCGGGACUCUAUCAACAAACAUCGGCUCUGCAAGGACAACCCCAUCAAAUUGAGGGAACGUUAUCUAUAGUUGAUGAUGGGAAGAUUGGAAAGAUCAAAUAGACAUACAAAGCAGGUUUGUCUGGAAUGUGCAAACAUAUUUCAGCACUGCUCCUGUACUGUACGAGGUUGUAUUUACUACAAAACAAAGGAGGCAAAUUAUUGUGCCCUUGCAAUUUAACUGAUUCUGAAGUUAAAUUUAGUUUUCUCUAUGCUGUUUGUUUAUUUCUAUUUUAAGAUGGAUAUUAAGUCUAUCAAGAUUCUUUUAUUCACUGAUGUUGAAUAGUUCUGGAAAAAAUUAGGAAAAGAAGGCUGAAAGUAAAAAUAUUUCAAAAUUUUAUGGGAAAAACAUAUUUUGAUAAUUUUUUUUGUAAAAACUAUGAGUAUUCUAGUUUUAGGGAAUAUGCUGGGCAGCAGUACUACUUAAGUUGCAGAUACAAAAAAAUAACAAAAAUAUUUGAAAAAUUGUGGCUGUUGUAACUUAAAAUAUUAUGGAGGGUGUUCAUUUUCGAAGAAUUUCAUAAGUUAUUUUGUAAUGAAAUGAAAAAUUGAGCUGGA